UCAGACUUGUCUAGAAAAGUCGUGUUCACAUUCAGUUACUAAUAUUACAAUACUUUUGGGGUUGGCGUGUGUGUGGCGGGGAGAGAGAGGGAAGGAUGGGGAUGCGGUGUUUCAAGAAGCUUCGAGGCAGAGAUUUGCCAUCGUACUUUCUAUUUGGUAGACAGUAUUGCCCAAAAAAUAGUGAUGAUACUAUUCCUGAUGGUAGCGAUCCUUCAGUUUGCUCUGGUUAAAGGUCCGCCAGGUUGCUGGGCUGGUCCAACUCAACCGGGAAAGGUUUGCAUAGACGGUAACGUAUUAAAUGGACAAAUAUCAAUGGACAUAAGGUAUACAAUCACUUCCAGGUUUACACAUAUUUGCUGUCAAGCGCUAGCUUGUACGGACUUUCGUGGCUGCCUUUUAAAGGAUAUUGGAUGCGGCCAGGGCACAGUGUCGUCUCAACGUCUCCCCUGGGAAUUGAGAGACAUCAAUCCUCUCGUUAGAUGUUAUGCGACCGACGCAACAAAUCCUGAUUAUUACGACUUUGUAGUAAGAGUCGUCUAGACUAGCACAAAUUUCAAAUAUAAUAAUAAAAAUUCAAUAUCAAACUAUCCAGAAUAUGAAAACAGAAAUGAAAAUGAAAUAUAUUUGAUUCAGUAUUUGAUGACACAAAUGUCUCUGUUAAUUGAUAAAAUAAAAAUGAUUACUUGAA
rnacentral:misc_RNA from 1 species